rnacentral:rRNA from 1 species
CGGGGGGAGCAAGCGUUGUUCGGAUUUACUGGGCGUAAAGGGCGCGUAGGCGGCGCAACAAGUCACUUGUGAAAUCUCCGGGCUUAACUCGGAGCGGCCAAGUGAUACUGUCGUGCUAGAGUGCGGAAGGGGCAACUGGAAUUCUCGGUGUAGCGGUGAAAUGCGUAGAUAUCGAGAGGAACACCUGCGGCGAAGGCGGGUUGCUGGGCCGACACUGACGCUGAGGCGCGAAAGCCAGGGGAGCGAACGGGAUUAGAUACCCCGGUAGUCCUGGCCUUAAACGAUGGAUGCUUGGUGUCCGGGGUUACAUAGUCCCCGGGUGCCGUCGCUAACGCCUUAAGCAUCCCGCCUGGGGAGUACGCACGCAGUGUG